UGCAAGUCGAGCGGUAGAGAGGAGCUUGCCUCUCUUGAGAGCGGCGGACGGGUGAGUAAUGCCUAGGAAUCUGCCUAGUGGUGGGGGAUAACGUUCGGAAACGGACGCUAAUACCGUAUACGUCCUACGGGAGAAAGCGGGGGAUCUUCGGACCUCGCGCCAUUAGAUGAGCCUAGGUCGGAUUAGCUAGUUGGUGAGGUAAUGGCUCACCAAGGCGACGAUCCGUAACUGGUCUGAGAGGAUGAUCAGUCACACUGGAACUGAGACACGGUCCAGACUCCUACGGGAGGCAGCAGUGGGGAAUAUUGGACAAUGGGCGAAAGCCUGAUCCAGCCAUGCCGCGUGUGUGAAGAAGGUCUUCGGAUUGUAAAGCACUUUAAGUUGGGAGGAAGGGUUGUAGAUUAAUACUCUGCAAUUUUGACGUUACCGACAGAAUAAGCACCGGCUAACUUCGUGCCAGCAGCCGCGGUAAUACGAAGGGUGCAAGCGUUAAUCGGAAUUACUGGGCGUAAAGCGCGCGUAGGUGGUUCGUUAAGUUGGAUGUGAAAGCCCCGGGCUCAACCUGGGAACUGCAUCCAAAACUGGCGAGCUAGAGUACGGUAGAGGGUGGUGGAAUUUCCUGUGUAGCGGUGAAAUGCGUAGAUAUAGGAAGGAACACCAGUGGCGAAGGCGACCACCUGGACUGAUACUGACACUGAGGUGCGAAAGCGUGGGGAGCAAACAGGAUUAGAUACCCUGGUAGUCCACGCCGU
rnacentral:rRNA from 1 species